GACUCACUGAGAACCCGGGCCAGAGACCUGCAAACAAUGCUCAAUUAAUAUUUGCCCUGGCCGGUGAACCCAGCAGAGGCUGUGCACGGAAGCCCAGAGCACGAUGUCUUGUUAGAAUGCUACCUCCUGGACCCAGCUGCCAGGCUCUGAGAAGCUCAAGUCACAUGGGGAGGCCACGUGUAGGUGACCUGGUCAACAGUCUCAGCCAAAGCCAACUCUCAAGUAGUCCCCUGUGGGUGCCAGACAUGUAGAUCAAGAAGCUUCUGGUUGAUUUCAACUGCCAGCUGCUUGCAUCACCCCCAGCUGAGGUCCCAGAUGUGGUGAAAAAGCAGCCACCCUCCCUGUGCUGGUUGGAAUUCCCUACUCAGAGAAUUCAUGUGCCUAAUAAAAUGGUUUUUGUUUAAGGCCACCA
rnacentral:lncRNA from 10 species